UACGUAGGGUGCGAGCGUUAAUCGGAAUUACUGGGCGUAAAGCGUGCGCAGGCGGUUUUUUCAGCCAGAUGUGAAAUCCCCGGGCUUAACCUGGGAAUGGCAUUUGGGACUGCAAGGCUUGAGUGCGGCAGAGGAGACUGGAAUUCCUGGUGUAGCAGUGAAAUGCGUAGAUAUCAGGAGGAACACCGAUGGCGAAGGCAGGUCUCUGGGCUGACACUGACGCUCAUGCACGAAAGCGUGGGGAGCAAACAGG
rnacentral:rRNA from 1 species